rnacentral:lncRNA from 1 species
AUUAUGUUCAUCUUAACAUAAAAAACACAUUUGCAAAGUUUUAAAUUUAUAUUCCUUCUAAUAACGGAGAAAAUCAAGUAUUUGUAACUUUUUUGGUUGAAUUCUCGAGUGGGUCGUGACGUAUUAGCCCGAUUUAUUGAAUUCUGGGAAAAAAUAAAAAUCUGUUUAACUCUUAUAGCUUAUCGACAAUAUACGUAAUUAAAAGCGCACAGCUGACGAAUGGUCGAAGUUAUUAACCAC